AGUGAACGCUGGCGGUAGGCCUAACACAUGCAAGUCGAACGGCAGCACAGUAAGAGCUUGCUCUUACGGGUGGCGAGUGGCGGACGGGUGAGGAAUACAUCGGAAUCUACUUUUUCGUGGGGGAUAACGUAGGGAAACUUACGCUAAUACCGCAUACGACCUACGGGUGAAAGCAGGGGAUCUUCGGACCUUGCGCGAUUGAAUGAGCCGAUGUCGGACUAGCUAGUUGGCGGGGUAAAGGCCCACCAAGGCGACGAUCCGUAGCUGGUCUGAGAGGAUGAUCAGCCACACUGGAACUGAGACACGGUCCAGACUCCUACGGGAGGCAGCAGUGGGGAAUAUUGGACAAUGGGCGCAAGCCUGAUCCAGCCAUACCGCGUGGGUGAAGAAGGCCUUCGGGUUGUAAAGCCCUUUUGUUGGGAAAGAAAAGCAGCAGGUUAAUACCCCGCUGCUCUGACGGUACCCAAAGAAUAAGCACCGGCUAACUUCGUG
rnacentral:rRNA from 1 species